CGAGUGAGGGCGGCUCGGCUCUGCGGUGGCUCUGCGGCUGUGCGGUGCGGCGCGGCCCAGCCAUGCCGUCCCGAGUGGAGGACUACGAGGUGCUGUACACCAUUGGCACGGGCUCCUACGGCCGCUGCCAGAAGAUCCGGAGGAAGGGCGACGGCAAGAUACUAGUUUGGAAGGAACUUGACUAUGGCUCCAUGACAGAGGCCGAGAAACAGAUGCUUGUUUCUGAAGUGAAUCUGCUCCGUGAACUGAAACAUCCGAACAUUGUCCGCUACUAUGAUCGAUUUAUUGACAGAACCAACACAACCCUGUACAUUGUGAUGGAAUAUUGUGAAGGAGGGGACCUGGCUAGUGUAAUUACCAAGGGAACUAAGGAAAGACAAUACUUAGAUGAAGAGUUUGUUCUUCGAGUGAUGACGCAGUUGACCCUGGCUCUGAAGGAAUGUCACAGGCGACGUGAUGGAGGACAUACUGUGCUGCAUCGAGAUUUGAAACCCGCCAAUGUUUUCUUGGAUGGCAAGCAAAAUGUCAAGCUCGGAGACUUUGGGCUAGCGAGAAUAUUAAACCAUGACACAAGUUUUGCACAAACAUUUGUUGGCACACCUUACUACAUGUCUCCUGAACAAAUGAACCGCAUGUCCUAUAAUGAGAAGUCAGAUAUCUGGUCCCUGGGCUGCCUGCUGUAUGAACUGUGCGUGCUAAUGCCUCCAUUUACAGCUUUUAACCAAAAAGAACUGGCUGGGAAGAUCCGGGAAGGCAAAUUCCGGCGGAUUCCUUACCGCUUCUCUGAUGAGCUGAAUGACCUUAUUACGAGGAUGUUAAAUUUAAAGGACUAUCAGCGGCCUUCCGUGGAGGACAUUCUUGAGAACCCUUUGAUAGCCGACUUGGUCUCCGAGGAGCAGAGAGGGCAGCCAGAGCGGCGAGGGUGCAGGGCGGCGAGUGCGGAAGAGCCCGAGAAGCCAGGAGACCCCGGCCCCCUGCUGAGCGAGCUGCGGCUGAAGGAGCUGCAGCUACAGGAGCGAGAGCGGGCGCUCCGGGCCCGGGAGGACAGGCUGGAGCAGAAGGAGCGAGAGCUGUGCGUGCGGAAGAGGCUGGCGGAAGACAAGCUGGCCCGUGCUGAGGGGCUGCUCAAGAGCUGCGGGCUGCUGAGGGAGCAGAGGCUGCUGGCCCUGGCCAGCUCUCCAGAACUUCUUGAUCUGCCAUCCUCAACAAUUAAGAAGAAGGUUCACUUCAGCAGGGAGAGCAAAGAGAACACGGCGAGGAGCGACAACUUGGAGAGCCAGCCUACUGCCAAGUCCAAGUGCAAGGACCUGAAGAAGAGGCUUCAUGCUGCGCAGCUGCGAGCACAGGCUCUGUCGGACCUGGAGAAGAACUACCAGCUCAAGAGCAGGCAGAUAUUGGGCAUGCGCUAGCCUGGGAGUCGCGGGGCCGCCUGGGAGCCGCAGGGGCCUCUGGGAGCCGCGGAGGCUGACUGGGAGCCGCAGGGGUGCCUAGGAGCUGCAGGGGUGCCCGGGAUGCGUGGGGGCCGCCUGGGCGCCACAGGCCCUGCAGCAUUCAGUGUUGCCGCCCUUUGCAGUUGGUACUCACUGCUGUAGCUUUCCAUCCCUGGUUCCUGCGCAGCACCUUUCUGUGUGGUGAGCUUGAUAUUUCAGUUUCAGAAAACUGCUUACGCUGUUUUCAGUAACCGUUGUACCAGAUGUAUAAAUUUUAAAUUUUGCCUCCUUUUAAGAACACUUUAUGGAAGGAGUGAUGUUUCCUGGACCAUUUGGGCUCUUGAUCCUGUGUGUGGUUACUAGUAGGAAUAGGAGAACUGACAUUCUAGAUGUUGGGGAAAAAUAAUGUUAGGGAAAAAUAUUCUUGCAGGAGCAGCUCUUGGAAAGUUUUACAUGGCCGAGUCAUGUGUUUGCAGCUGUCCUGUCUAGCUUUAAAGUCGGAGUCUCGGGUUUGAAAUGUUCUUUAAUUUCUUUAG